rnacentral:rRNA from 1 species
AUUGAACGCUGGCGGCAUGCCUAACACAUGCAAGUCGAACGGCAGCACAGUAAAGACUUCGGUCCUUAUGGGUGGCGAGUGGCGGACGGGUGAGUAACGCGUAGGAAUCUGUCCUGGAGGGUGGGAUAACCCGAGGAAACUCGGGCUAAUACCGCAUGAUAUCGAGAGAUCAAAAGCAGGGGACCCUUCGGGGCCUUGCGCUCUAGGAUGAGCCUACGUCGGAUUAGCUAGUUGGUGGGGUAAAGGCCUACCAAGGCGACGAUCCGUAGCUGGUCUGAGAGGAUGACCAGCCACACUGGGACUGAGACACGGCCCAGACUCCUACGGGAGGCAGCAGUGGGGAAUCUUGGACAAUGGGGGAAACCCUGAUCCAGCGAUGCCGCGUGUGUGAAGAAGGCCUUCGGGUUGUAGAGCACUUUAUUUGGGGAAGAAAAGUAAUAAGUAAAUAAUUUAUUGCUCUGACGGUACCCAAAGAAUAAGCACCGGCUAACUCUGUGCCAGCCGCCGCCGUAACAC